rnacentral:rRNA from 1 species
UGCGCAGGCGGCGCCGCAAGUCAGGCGUGAAAUCCCCGAGCUUAACUUGGGAAUGGCGCUUGAAACUACGGUGCUGGAGUGUGGCAGAGGGAGGUGGAAUUCCACGUGUAGCGGUGAAAUGCGUAGAGAUGUGGAGGAACACCGAUGGCGAAGGCAGCCUCCUGGGCCAACACUGACGCUCAUGCACGAAAGCUGGGAGCAAACA